GGCAUGGAGUCCUGUGGCAUCCACAAGACCACCUUCAACUCUAUCAUGAAGUGUGAUGUGGGCAUCUGCAAAGACCUGUUUGCC
ensembl:miRNA